rnacentral:lncRNA from 1 species
CUGGGCAUCACAACACACAUUACAGGUCCCAGAAAGUACCAUGUCUGGUGAAGGUGUCACAUGAGGGUCAGGUCUGGGGACUGGGAGUAGCUGUCCGCAUGUUUAUUUUCCGUUUUUGUGUCCAUGAGUGCAAUCGUGUGUCUAUCAGAGUGUGUGUGUUUGCAGAGUGACUACAUAUAUAGCUAUGUAUCUUAAGAAAUGUAACAACAGUUACUGUAACAAUUGCAUAGAGAAGGGAACAGAUGUUCUUUCUUGCUAACCAGGGCAGUACAGUAACUUGGAUGUCAGGAUGCUGGUGUCCUCGAGGGCAUGUGUGUGCAUUUCCCUCUCCUAGACUCUGGGCAUCAUAAACUCUAGGGACCUCUGGGUCUGUGAGAACAACUGGCCUAACUUGGGCCCUUCUUAUUCAACCCAUCAGUCCUAGCUGCUGACCCAUAAGCGCAGGCCUCUGCCGCCAGACCCUCACAGGGACCCUCAGCAUCCAGAAUGGGGGGCACCUAGAGGCCCACCUCUGGCCUGGCCGCCCAGUGACCCAAGUCACCCGGCAUUGCAGGGAGCACAGGGCAGGCUAGGCCACCAGACCAAGGUCCACCUCCUACACCCACCACUUUCUGUCCUUUGCCAGGCUGAGCCCUCAUCCUUUUCCCCUCUCCUCCGGCCCGUGGGCCCUUUAAGGGCCCUGACAGAACAUGUCAGGGUGUACCCUAAAAGCUGCCUUUUCCUACUUCAUCCAAAUGUGAGACGGGGCUGGCACCCACCCGCAACCUCGCCUGGACCCUUCCCACCCCAGCGCCUCCAAACACCUGGCCCUCCUGAUUCCCCGCCUCCCCCGCCACACUCCCGCUGGGCCUCCACCUCCUGAUGACCCCACUGUUCCCCCACCGCCCAGCUCGCCCCAGGUCCCGCCCUAACCUCUCGGAUCUGGACUCCCUGCAGGACGGGCGCACUGACACCCUUCCCUGACCUUUCCAUAGCCUUGACCUGGAUCCCCGCUUCCUCACGCACAGCAAGACGCAAAACGUGCUCCCCAAUCCUGCGCACGCCCUUCCCUGGCCCCCGCCCCGCCCAAGGCCCGGGGCGGUCCUCACAGCUCGGAGCUCGGCGGUGCCGCCCCGCCCCGACAGCUCCCGCCCGCGCGCGCGCCCAACGACGGCACUGUCUUCGCGGAGCCCUCUGCCGGGACUAACGGCCGUUCCGUGCCACGGACGCACGGGCAAGAUGGCUGCGGCCGUGGGAGGAGCUUGGGUCCAGCAGCCACAGAACUCGGCCGAGGGUUCAGCGGACUGCGGCUGCGCGGCGCCGGCGACAGCGUCAACUGCUUUUGUGUCAAAAGGAAACCAACAGCCGGCUCCAUAGCUCAGGGGGGGAGACGAUGGCACUACCGCGCCCCUUCCCGCCAUGCGUUUGUUUGCGGCGUUCCCCGACGCGCGCGCUGAGGCUCUGGUCUGCGGCUCUGCGCUUGGCGGCUGCGCGCCCUCGGCCUUCGGGUCCCCGCCGCCUCCGUGCUGCAAGGUCUGAUUUCUUCCUGUGGAGUUAACACGGAAAAGCGCAGACGGCCACAUUCAUGACCCGGGAGUAACGGCUCUACCUGUCACAUUCGCUUUCAGCCUAAAACAAAAUUUUAGUUUAUUUUAGACAAAAUAUAUAACUAAGGUAUGCUGGCCUUCUGACUGAUUUAUUCUUGCUGUUAACGGAAGUGUAGAAAGUGAGCCCAAGUCCUCAGUGAACAGUGGGGGCGCUGCCCAGGUGCAGGACUGGCCCCCUGGG